rnacentral:rRNA from 1 species
CCUACGGGAGGCAGCAGUGGGGAAUAUUGCACAAUGGGCGAAAGCCUGAUGCAGCAACGCCGCGUGCAGGAAGACGGUUUUCGGAUUUUAAACUUCUGUUCUUAGUGAAGAAUAAUGACGGUAACUAAGGAGCAAGCCACGGCUAACUACGUGCCAGCAGCCGCGGUAAUACGCAGGUGGCAAGCGUUGUCCGGAAUUACUGGGUGUAAAGGGAGCGUAGGCGGGAAGCCAAGUCAGCUGUGAAAACUACGGGCUUAACCUGUAGACUGCAGUUGAAACUGGCUUUCUUGAGUGAAGGAGAGGUUGGCGGAAUUCGGAGUGUAGCGGUGAAAUGCGUAGAUAUUCGGAGGAACACCGGUGGCGAAGGCGGCCAGCUGGGCUUUAACUGACGCUGAGGCUCGAAAGUGUGGGGAGCGAACAGGAUUAGAUACCCUAGUAGUC